rnacentral:rRNA from 1 species
CGAGCGGACCGACGGGAGCUUGCUCCCUUAGGUCAGCGGCGGACGGGUGAGUAACACGUGGGUAACCUGCCUGUAAGACUGGGAUAACUCCGGGAAACCGGGGCUAAUACCGGAUGCUUGAUUGAACCGCAUGGUUCAAUCAUAAAAGGUGGCUUUUAGCUACCACUUACAGAUGGACCCGCGGCGCAUUAGCUAGUUGGUGAGGUAACGGCUCACCAAGGCGACGAUGCGUAGCCGACCUGAGAGGGUGAUCGGCCACACUGGGACUGAGACACGGCCCAGACUCCUACGGGAGGCAGCAGUAGGGAAUCUUCCGCAAUGGACGAAAGUCUGACGGAGCAACGCCGCGUGAGUGAUGAAGGUUUUCGGAUCGUAAAACUCUGUUGUUAGGGAAGAACAAGUACCGUUCGAAUAGGGCGGUACCUUGACGGUACCUAACCAGAAAGCCACGGCUAACUACGUGCCAGCAGCCGCGGUAAUACGUAGGUGGCAAGCGUUGUCCGGAAUUAUUGGGCGUAAAGCGCGCGCAGGCGGUUUCUUAAGUCUGAUGUGAAAGCCCCCGGCUCAACCGGGGAGGGUCAUUGGAAACUGGGGAACUUGAGUGCAGAAAAGGAGAGUGGAAUUCCACGUGUAGCGGUGAAAUGCGUAGAGAUGUGGAGGAACACCAGUGGCGAAGGCGACUCUCUGGUCUGUAACUGACGCUAAGGCGCGAAAGCGUGGGGAGCGAACAGGAUUAGAUACCCUGGUAGUCCACGCCGUAAACGAUGAGUGCUAAGUGUUAGAGGGUUUCCGCCCUUUAGUGCUGCAGCAAACGCAUUAAGCACUCCGCCUGGGGAGUACGGUCGCAAGACUGAAACUCAAAGGAAUUGACGGGGGCCCGCAAAAGCGGUGGAACAUGUGGUUUAAUUCGAAGCAACGCGAAGAACCUUACCAGGUCUUGACUUCUCUGACAACCCUAAAAAUAGGGCUUCCCCUUCGGGGGCAAA